GAAAAAAUACUAGUUUAUGUGUGUGAAUAUGUAUGUGUGAGAUAAUAGAAGCUCUGAGUGAAGUCUAAUUGUGUGAUAACAUAAUUUUCUUUUUUCUCGUUUGUUUUCUCCACUUUUUGCUGCAUAAAAACCCCCAACAUGCACUGAGAGAGGUUUGUCAUGAGGCAGAGUGUGUGAGAGCAGAGUGUGUGAGAGGUGUGUUAUGAGGCAGAGUGUGUGAGAGCAGAGUGUGUGAGAGGUGUGUUAUGAAGCAGAGUGUGUGAGAGGUGUGUCAUGAGGCAGAGUGUGUGAGAGCAGAGUGUGUGAGAGGUGUGUUAUGAAGCAGAGUGUGUGAGAGGUGUGUCAUGAAGCAGAGUGUGUGAGAGCAGAGUGUGAGAGGUGUGUCAUGAAGCAGAGUGUGUGAGAGCAGAGUGUGUGAGAGGUGUGUCAUGAAGCAGAGUGUGUGAGAGGUGUGUCAUGAGGCAGAGUGUGUGAGAGGUGUGUCAUGAGGCAGAGUGUGUGAGAGGUGUGUCAUGAGGCAGAGUGUGUGAGAGGUGUGUCAUGAGGCACAGUGUGUCAUGAGGCAGUGUGUGUGAGAGGUCUGUCAUGAGGCAGAGUGUGUGCUGCUCUCAGCCAGCAGCACGAGGAGCUCCGACUGAGACGCGGCCUCAAAGCGGCAGUGACUGGAACCAGCUGGGGGUGCUGAGGCCCAACUGCAACCGAAAAGCAUGUAGGCUGCUUACAUGCAAUUGUGGACUACUGUGAACAUGCAGACACAAAUGCACAUG
ensembl:lncRNA